ensembl:misc_RNA Metazoa_SRP Metazoan signal recognition particle RNA
GCCGGGUGCGGUGGCACGUGCCUAUAGUCCCAGCUACUUGGGAGGCUGAGGCUAGAGGAUCUCUUGAGCCCAGGAGUUCUGGGCUGUAGUGCGCUAUGCUGAUUGGGUGUCCGCACUAAGUUCAGCAUCAAUAUGGUGACCUCUGGGGAGCAGGGGAUCACCAUGUUGCCUAAGGAGGGGUGAACUGGCCCAGGUCAGAAACAGAGCAGGUCAAAACUCCCGGGCUGAUCAGUAGUGGGAUCCCGCCUGUGAAUAGCCACUGCACUCCAGCCUGGGCAAAAUAGCGAGAACCCCAUCUCUA